rfam:Ciona savignyi cont_34094, whole genome shotgun sequence.
GUCGUCGUGGCCGAGUGGUUAAGGCGACAGACUAGAAAUCUGUUGGGCUCUGCCCGCACAGGUUCGAAUCCUGUCGGUGACG